rfam:Ornithorhynchus anatinus chromosome 5, whole genome shotgun sequence.
ACCCUCUCCGGGUCGCAUCUGGAGAGUCUCUAGUAUUCUACCAGUCACUAAUACAGGAGGGAGAGUCAAGCAGAGGCCUACCCAUCCCUUUCCUAGCUUGGCCAGUGGCUAGUGAGUGGAAGGUAAUCUGCUGCAAGU